AAUUCUUCCCUCAUUAUUUCAUCACAGGAAGAGGUGGGUCUUUGUCCAUAGAACAAAGAUGCCAACACAUCCUUUCCUCCUUGCUACAUGGCUGGGUCAGUCUAAGAUGGCUGCACAGCACAGUCUUCAUUGAACUUUUCUAUGGCUUCCAGGCCUGUCCUUAAUUCUAUUAUACUUUUAAAGAUCUAAACCAAAGAAGAAAUGAUCCAACCCAGUUUCAUAGCCUGGGGGAGCAACUAUUUCAGCCUGACUUUAGAAUCAAGCAGUUCUUGUUUAUUCUUGAAGGAUGCCAGUGAAGCCUGGAAAUGAAGACAAGAAGGGAGAGCAUUCCAGGUAUAGAGAACAUUCAGUCAAGGCAUGGAAUCAGGAGACGGUGUGUCAUAUGAGAGGAAUGAUGAGCCUUGCCUGGAGAAAACUCUGAUUAUGACUCCAGUGCCCUGAACUACACUUCGGAUGAUGCUUCCUUUUAUCAUCAGCAUUUCUAUGGUCUGAGUCACUCAAGGGUGUGUUUUACCACAGAGCCAAGAGAGUUCACCCCAAAGACAAUGGCCACCAAAGCAGUCAGCCGGAAGCUGGAAAAUGGCAGAUCAUCUUUAAUGUAGGGAGGAGCAAGGACUUGCUGCUGAGGACUCCCCUGGACCAGUUCCCCUCCUCGACUUAUCAGGGCCAGCUCAAGUCCUGUUCCACCUUUGAUGACAUUCUCAAUGUCUGGGAUGACUAUGAUGGCACCUGCAAUGAGUUCUUUUUCGACCCCAACCCUGGAGCCUUCCACACAAUCUUGACUUUCCUUCAGGUGGGGAAGCUUGGACUGCUCAGGGAGAUGGGUGCCAUUUCUUUUCAGGAGGAAAUCAUCAAGCAAAUUGGUUGUGGGGUGGUGGGUGAAGGGUGAGUAGAGAGAUCACUGGGAAAAUCAACCAAAUUCACCUUGAAUAAGUAUGUAGAUGAGUUUGAA